GGAUGUGAGGGCAAUCUGGUUGUGACAUCUGUCACCCCAUUGAUCAUCAGGGUUGAUUCAGCUGAUCUAGCUGGCUAGGCCAGUGUCCCCUUCCUCCCUCAUGGCUCCAUGUGUGCCACCCACACCCCCCCCCACCCCCGCUCCCCGCCAACCAAGGCUGCAUGCUCAGUUGAAGAGGACAACCAUCCCUGAUGGAGGAGGACUGCUCUUUGGUCAAGGGUAUACGAGUCGCUGUGCUCCCCUGCUAGAACCUUCAAGCAAGCUCUCAAGGAAUAAGUGGUAAUCUAAGGAUCAUUAACGUAUUUCCACAGUUAGUUACCUGAAGAGCAGAAGAGGAGGUUUGCCUCCUUUACGU
rnacentral:snRNA from 1 species